rnacentral:misc_RNA from 1 species
UCUCCGUUGGUGAACCAGCGGAGGGAUCAUUACAGAGUUUUCUAAACUCCCAACCCAUGUGAACUUACCACUGUUGCCUCGGCGCUGGCCGGCCUCCUCACCGAGGCCCCCUGGAGACAGGGAGCAGCCCGCCGGCGGCCAAACAAACUCUUGUUUCUUAGUGAAUCUCUGAGUAAAAAACAUAAAUGAAUCAAAACUUUCAACAACGGAUCUCUUGGUUCUGGCAUCGAUGAAGAACGCAGC